CAGCAGCCGCGGUAAGACAGAGGAUGCAAGCGUUAUCCGGAAUGAUUGGGCGUAAAGCGUCUGUAGGUGGCUUUUCAAGUCCGCCGUCAAAUCCCAGGGCUCAACCCUGGACAGGCGGUGGAAACUACCAAGCUGGAGUACGGUAGGGGCAGAGGGAAUUUCCAGUGGAGCGGUGAAAUGCGUUGAGAUCGAAAAGAACACCAACAGCGAAAGCACUCUGCUGGGACGACACUGACACUAAGAGACGAAAGCUAGGGGAGCAAAUGGGAUUAGAUACCCCCGUAGUCCCUGUCUCUUAUAC
rnacentral:rRNA from 1 species